GAUGAACGCUGGCGGCGUGCCUAAUACAUGCAAGUCGAGCGAACGGACGAGAAGCUUGCUUCUCUGAUGUUAGCGGCGGACGGGUGAGUAACACGUGGAUAACCUACCUAUAAGACUGGGAUAACUUCGGGAAACCGUAGCUAAUACCGGAUAAUAUUUUGAACCGCAUGGUUCAAAAGUGAAAGACGGUCUUGCUGUCACUUAUAGAUGGAUCCGCGCUGCAUUAGCUAGUUGGUAAGGUAACGGCUUACCAAGGCAACGAUGCAUAGCCGACCUGAGAGGGGGAGAGGCAAACCGGAAACGGAACCGGGCACGAGAGCCCGGGGGAGGGAGACAGGGGGGAUUUGUCCGAAGGGGGAGAAGGCGGGAGGGGGAAACGCGGGGGGAGGAAGAAAGGUUUUGGGUGGGAAAAACUUUUUUAUGGGGGAAAAAAAUAUGGGAAAGAAAGGGUGCAAAUCUGGAGGGAACCAAAUAAGAAGGCCAGGGAAAGCUAGGGC
rnacentral:rRNA from 1 species